UACGAAGGGGGCUAGCGUUGUUCGGAAUCACUGGGCGUAAAGGGCGCGUAGGCGGCCGAUCAAGUCGGGGGUGAAAGCCUGUGGCUUAACCACAGAAUGGCCUUCGAUACUGUUUGGCUUGAGACCGGAAGAGGUUAGUGGAACUGCGAGUGUAGAGGUGAAAUUCGUAGAUAUUCGCAAGAACACCAGUGGCGAAGGCGGCUCUCUGGGACGGUACUGACGCUGAGACGCGAAAGCGUGGGGAGCGAACAGG
rnacentral:rRNA from 1 species